rnacentral:lncRNA from 1 species
GACACAUCUGUUUGCAGUUGGGCACUUACCCAGGACAGUCAUUGGCUUCAGACUCCUAAAGGACCCACGUCAGAUGGGGUAUACAAGGAUACCUCAUCCUAUUUUUCUGAUCCCAGCCUUGUGAUCACAGUGAUUUUGAAAAGCUCAUUAGAAGAACCGUCUUGCUUCCUCUAGGUGUGAUUUAAAUAACACACUUGUUCUCAGUCCACAUCCCUCGGCUUCUACGCAGAUACUGACUGAGCACAUACUAUAUCCUGGGGACUGUUCUGUGGGCUGGAGUUACAACAUGGGACAAGACAGAUGCUUAUCUUCAGCACAACCUCUGGUUCACAAACCUGUCUGCUGCUGUUCCCCGCCUCCCCACCCCGAGACCGGGUUUUAUCUUUCCCAAAGCUGUGUUUGAGUGGGGCCCCAUCCCCAUCCUACAUCACCAUGGGAGGAAAUCUCCCAGACCCAGCCCCCCUCCAAGUGUUGGGGAAGCCACUCAUGAGAAAGCACUGCUAUGAUUGAAAGGCAGCUCCACAGCUUCCCAGGUAGGGAUGAGAGAAGUAUUGCUAAUUUGUUCAGUGUCGCACCUGCUUUGUUCUUCACUGGACCAAAGGGGAAAGUCAAAGCUUCCAGGUAUCCUGCAGGGGGAAAGAAGUGUUCCUGGUCCCAGCUAUUGCCUAGGAACUCAGGUUCCAGAGGAUUCUUUCUCCAUAUCACUUGCCCUGUGUCUUCAAAACAAAAGGCAACUGUGUCUGACUGCAAAGGUUUGAGGUUUGCUGAGCUGACACGCAGCUUCAGAAUGCAGUGAGUGAGGGUUUGAGCUGUGGAAGAGCUUUGGCUUAUAAAAAAGACAAAUUAAUUAACUUGUCAAAUCCUUUUUCUCAGAACACAUGAAUACAAUUGAUUCUUGCAUAAUGAAGGUUGUUUCUUAGUAGCACCAAGCAUCCAUUUUCUUGCUUCUUUUCUCAUUCCAUUUCCUGGCUCUCGCAGUGUGCACAAAUUAGGGUUGUAUUUGCAAGUUACAUAUGAAAACUGAGGAACAUUUUGCAAAAUUAAACAAUACAUAUUCUUCCUACGUUUGUAUCUAUGUAGG